GCUUGAACGUCACUGCGUGCAGUUGGAGGAUAUUGAUAUCACGGACUGUCAGUGUGAUUUCCGAUUGCAUGCAGCAGUCGACGCAGCGCACAUCGCAGGACUUUCAAUCGUGGAGAGAUUUGUUUGGAUGGCAGUGAGAGCUAGAGCAGACAGAAUUGAUGUAGGGUGAGGUUGGGAAUAUGGAACUCACUCAUCAGAGGACUUCGCCUCAAGGUGUGACCUAUUUGGAUAAAGCAACGCUGGUGGCAGGUGUCACUAUAAAAUUUACACACAAGGGAACUUUGGCCAGAAGAGUGACCCUGUCAGAUUCAUGGACGGUGGAGGAGGACAGACCACAUCGUCGCCAGCCUUACAUAGCAGCAGUCUCAAUUCUCUCAAGUACAAGGAGGUCUAUGCCUUCAUCAUGGGAAACUCUCUUUUCAGUGCUCUUCAAGAAGCCUCUGAAUUCAUACCAGGAAACCCUAUUUCCGGUGCUCUUCAAG